rnacentral:rRNA from 1 species
AACGAACGCUGGCGGCAUGCCUAACACAUGCAAGUCGAACGAGACCUUCGGGUCUAGUGGCGCACGGGUGCGUAACGCGUGGGAACCUGCCCUUAGGUUCGGAAUAACUCCCCGAAAGGGGUGCUAAUACCGGAUAAUGUCUUCGGACCAAAGAUUAUCGCCUUUGGAUGGGCCCGCGUUGGAUUAGCUAGUUGGUAGGGUAAAAGCCUACCAAGGCGACGAUCCAUAGCUGGUCUGAGAGGAUGAUCAGCCACACUGGGACUGAGACACGGCCCAGACUCCUACGGGAGGCAGCAGUGGGGAAUAUUGGACAAUGGGCGAAAGCCUGAUCCGGCAAUGCCGCGUGAGUGAUGAAGGCCUUAGGGUUGUAAAGCUCUUUUACCCGGGAUGAUAAUGACAGUACCGGGAGAAUAAGCUCCGGCUAACUCCGUG